rnacentral:rRNA from 1 species
GACAGAGGCCUCGAGCGUUAGGCGGAAUCACUGGGCUUAAAGCGUGUGUAGGCGGAUCGUUAAGUGCCUUGUGAAAUCCCACGGCUUAACUGUGGAACGGCUGGGCAUACUGGCGGUCUUGAGCCAUCUAGGGGCGACUGGAACAAACGGUGGAGCGGUGAAAUGCGUAGAUAUCGGGAGGAACACCAGUGGCGAAGGCGGCCUUCUGGACCAAUACUGACGCUCAUGCACGAAAGCGUGGUGAGCAAACAGG